rnacentral:lncRNA from 1 species
UUUUUUAAAAUGUAAAUGGAGUAAAUGAUAAAAUGUAGACUGAAUUUAUCAUAAAGACAUUUUCUUUUGGUAUACUGCAAGGAACUAUGAACUUUUAGUAACUACUAUAAGCAACUGACAGGAAAAAAUGGCAACAGAAGAAGGAAAGAGGAGAGAAUGGGGAGCAGACACUAAGGUGUAGUGAAAGGAGGAAAAUGAAGGCUAAGUCUAAUGAUGUGAAUCCUCUUUGCAAUUCCAUCAAAGGAGGGAUCUUCCUACUGACCAGAAGACCUGAACAGCCUGAGAAUGAUUCCUUUCAACUCCGAGAGAAGAAGCUGCAGAUGAAGAGCAAGAUACUGUUUACUGAAAACCCACCAAUCUGAUCUUUUAUGAGAAGCUAGUCCCUGAAAAGGCCCUUGGAUCAAAGGUCAAAAACUUGAAGCACAGAGUGGGAUGUCAGAUGCCAAGAUUUAAAUCUAGUCAUUUGAUUCCAGAGCCCACAUUCUUAAAUAAUAUGCUACACUGACCUUUAUUGUCUUUAAACAUUAUCUUUAUUUAAUGUGUUUCAUAGAAAUUACUUCUCAGGUAUUCCUAAAUUUAUUUUUAAAAAUAAUGUCAUGCUAUCACUAUAAUAUAGUUUUUUAAAUUAACUUGAGAGGUAAUGUAGUAUGAUCAACUUCCUUAAUGGCCUUUUAAACUGGAAAUAACUAUUAAAUAUUUUAAUAUUAUAAAUUAACAGGCAAAAUGGUGAAAAAUCUAACAUCUGGUUCUUAAAAGUAAGUUGAAAUAUAAGAUCAGAUUUGAAUGCACAUGGAAAAAUAGAACUGGCAAAUAAUGCCAUAUUUGAAGAUCUUUUAGUAUUCUCUGGUAUUUUUCCUUUCAUUUCAAAAUUGUUAUAUUCUUUUUAAUGACUUCAAAUGAAUUAGGAAAUGUCAGGCUUCUAAAAAUCAAACAGAACGUCCAACCAGUAGAUUUCAUUCAGGGCAGUGGGAGCCUGUUCGGUUGUUUCCUCUUUCCCCCUCACUUUUAAAAAUCCUCAAUCACUGCCAUUUCUCUUCUCAGCUUUCACAACACUUUACAGGCAGCUGAAUGAAAGGGCAGAAGCUUCCUCUGAAACUCCUGUUAUUUCAGCUCUAAAAUCAGCUGAAAAGGAUGCCCUCCCCAGAGACAGAAAUGCAUUCCCUCCAUCAUGAACCUGCAAUGCCCUCAGGUUGUGGCAAGGGAGAAGUUUAGCACUUGAACCUAGAUAACGCUAUUUUUUUAAUCAAAGUGCACCAUUCUUGUUUCAUAUGGCCUGUGGCACAAUUUAUUUAAAACAAUAUGGUGCAUCAAAGAAGGUAAACAAUAAUAACAAUAAUAAUAAUAUAGGAAUAGCAAUGUGCACAUAAAUAAUAUAGGAAAACACAUGGCCUCAGUACCUUCAUGAAAUGGGACUUCAAUAUACAUAUUUCUUAUACAGCUUUAUGCAUGACUUCAUUGCACUUCACUGCUCUGUUGUGUCACUCUACCAAUAAACCUAUACAUCAUACUGAGUGAAGUAUGUUCACAGUCCCUUUACUUGACAAAAAAAAAAAAAAAAAAAAAAAAA